CCUGCCUCAGCUCGGCAGCAGUGCACUACGGAGCCGUACCUAAAUACUGCCUUUGAUUUUGCAGCUUCCCUCUGGAUUAAAACAGCAAGCUGGGUGAGUUGGUAACUGAAGAUGUUCCUAGGGGUGGGCAGCGCUACCCGGACGAAGGAAGACGUUAAUAAAAGGGACCCAAUCGUAUCACGGAAGAAGAAUGGAGCUCUGCCAUCCAGAGCACAGCAUUUUCACGGCAAACUUGGGCUGCCCAGGGAGCCCACGAUGCGGGGGUGGGGCUCGGCUUACCAUUCUCCACGUGUGAGCGGUCCGCAGCUCUGCCCUAGAGCAGGGCUUCUCAGGUCCUUGUUAAUAAAGUUCUUUGUCUCUCUGUUUCAUGUGUUCUUAGUAACCAGUCGCUUCGAUAAUGCUUCUGUGCUAAGGGCACAACAGUGAAAUUAAUUGCUAAGGGAGAAUAAAAAAAAAACUACGUGCUUUAUCGGCCUCGCCGUGCCACUUUUAAUGCGUCUGCACUCUAGGAUAUGCCUGUGAUCGUUCGUUCGCCAAGUGCUAGCGCAUUGAUUGCUUGGGAAGACUCUCCCCUUCCCAAGCAUUAGGCGGCCAACAAGACGCUACCUUUCUUGGA